rnacentral:rRNA from 1 species
GACGAACGCUGGCGGCGUGCUUAACACAUGCAAGUCGAACGAAAAGAGGGGAAGAGCUUGCUCUUUCCGGAAUUGAGUGGCAAACGGGUGAGUAACACGUAAACAACCUGCCUUCAGGAUGGGGACAACAGACGGAAACGACUGCUAAUACCGAAUAAGUUCCAAGGGCCGCAUGGCCCAUGGAAGAAAAGGUGGCCUCUACCUGUAAGCUAUCGCCUGAAGGGGGGUUUGCGUCUGAUUAGCUGGUUGGAGGGGUAACGGCCCACCAAGGCGACGAUCAGUAGCCGGUCUGAGAGGAUGAACGGCCACACUGGAAUUGAGACACGGUCCAGACUCCUACGGGAGGCAGCAGUGGGGAAUCUUCCGCAAUGGGCGAAAGCCUGACGGAGCAACGCCGCGUGAGUGAUGACGGCCUUCGGGUUGUAAAACUCUGUGAUCCGGGACGAAAAGGCAGAGUGCGAAGAACAAACUGCAUUGACGGUACCGGAAAAGCAAGCCACGGCUAACUACGUG